UGCAGUCGAACGAGAAAGUGGAGCAAUCCAUGAGUAAAGUGGCGACCGGGUGAGUAACACGUGACUACCUGCCCUUGAGUGGGGGAUAACCCCGGGAAACCGGGGCUAAUACCGCAUAAUAUCGCAAGAUCAAAGGAGCAAUCCGCUUUUGGAGGGGGUCGCGGCUGAUUAGCUGGUUGGUAGGGUAAUGGCCUACCAAGGCGAAGAUCGGUAUCCGGCCUGAGAGGGCGCACGGACACACUGGAACUGAAACACGGUCCAGACUCCUACGGGAGGCAGCAGUGGGGAAUUUUGCGCAAUGGGGGAAACCCUGACGCAGCAACGCCGCGUGGAGGAUGAAGCCCCUUGGGGCGUAAACUCCUUUCGACCGGGACGAUACUGACGGUACCGGUGGAAGAAGCACCGGCUAACUCUGUGCCAGCAGCCGCGGUAAUACAGAGGGUGCGAGCGUUGUUCGGAAUUAUUGGGCGUAAAGGGCGCGUANGCGGUGCGGUAAGUCACCUGUGAAACCUCCGGGCUUAACUCGGAGCCUGCAGGCGAAACUGCCGUGCUGGAGGGUGG
rnacentral:rRNA from 1 species